UACAGAAGCCUCAAGCGUUGUUCGGAAUUACUGGGCGUAAAGAGCUCGUAGGUGGUUUGUCGCGUUGUCCGUGAAAACUCACAACUCAAUUGUGGGCGUGCGGGCGAUACGGGCAGACUGGAGUACUGCAGGGGAGACUGGAAUUCCUGGUGUAGCGGUGGAAUGCGCAGAUAUUGGGAGGAACACCGGUGGCGAAGGCGGCGAUCUGGGUCGAUACUGACGCUGAGGCGCGAAAGCGUGGGGAGCAAACAGG
rnacentral:rRNA from 1 species